GAUGAACGCUGGCGGCGUGCCUAAUACAUGCAAGUCGAGCGAACAGACGAGGAGCUUGCUCCUCUGACGUUAGCGGCGGACGGGUGAGUAACACGUGGAUAACCUACCUAUAAGACUGGGAUAACUUCGGGAAACCGGAGCUAAUACCGGAUAAUAUAUUGAACCGCAUGGUUCAAUAGUGAAAUACGGUUUUGCUGUCACUUAUCGAUGGAUCCGCGCCGCAUUAGCUAGUUGGUAAGGUAACGGCUUACCAAGGCGACCAUGCGUAGCCGACCUGAGAGGGGGAUCGGCCACACUGGAACUGAGACACGGUCCAGACUCCUACGGGAGGCAGCAGUAGGGAAUCUUCCGCAAUGGGCGAAAGCCUGACGGAGCAACGCCGCGUGAGUGAUGAAGGUCUUCGGAUCGUAAAACUCUGUUAUUAGGGAAGAACAAAUGUGUAAGUAACUAUGCACGUCUUGACGGUACCUAAUCAGAAAGCCACGGCUAACUACGUG
rnacentral:rRNA from 1 species